rnacentral:rRNA from 1 species
GACGAACGCUGGCGGCGUGCUUAACACAUGCAAGUCGAACGAUGAAGAAGAGAAACGCGAACUUCGGUUCAAAUUUCACUUCGGAUUAGUGGCAGACGGGUGAGUAACGCGUGAGCAACCUACCUCUUACAAAGGGAUAGCCUCGGGAAACCGUGAUUAAUACCAUAUGACACAUUCAUAAGGCAUCUUAAGAAUGUUAAAGCUACGGCGGUAAGAGAUGGGCUCGCGUCCCAUUAGCUAGUUGGUGAGGUAACGGCCCACCAAGGCGACGAUGGGUAACCGGCCUGAGAGGGUGAACGGUCACAUUGGAACUGAGACACGGUCCAAACUCCUACGGGAGGCAGCAGUGGGGAAUAUUGCACAAUGGAGGGAACUCUGAUGCAGCGACGCCGCGUGAGCGAUGAAGGAAUUCGUUUCGUAAAGCUCUGUUCUAUGGGAAGAAAAGGACUGUACCAUAGGAGAAAGCCCCGGCUAAAUACGUG